GACGAACGCUGGCGGCGUGCUUAACACAUGCAAGUCGAACGGAAAGGCCCUGCUUUUGUGGGGUGCUCGAGUGGCGAACGGGUGAGUAACACGUGAGUAACCUGCCCUUGACUUUGGGAUAACUUCAGGAAACUGGGGCUAAUACCGGAUAGGAGCUCCUGCUGCAUGGUGGGGGUUGGAAAGUUUCGGCGGUUGGGGAUGGACUCGCGGCUUAUCAGCUUGUUGGUGGGGUAGUGGCUUACCAAGGCUUUGACGGGUAGCCGACCUGAGAGGGUGACCGGCCACAUUGGGACUGAGAUACGGCCCAGACUCCUACGGGAGGCAGCAGUGGGGAAUAUUGCACAAUGGGCGGAAGCCUGAUGCAGCAACGCCGCGUGCGGGAUGACGGCCUUCGGGUUGUAAACCGCUUUCGCCUGUAACGAAGCGUGAGUGACGGUAAUGGGUAAAGAAGCACCGGCUAACUACGUG
rnacentral:rRNA from 1 species